AUUGAACGCUGGCGGCAUGCUUUACACAUGCAAGUCGAACGGUAACAGGCCGCCAGGUGCUGACGAGUGGCGAACGGGUGAGUAAUGCAUCGGAACGUGCCCAGUCGUGGGGGAUAACUACUCGAAAGAGUAGCUAAUACCGCAUACGAUCUAUGGAUGAAAGCGGGGGACCGUAAGGCCUCGCGCGAUUGGAGCGGCCGAUGUCAGAUUAGGUAGUUGGUGGGGUAAAGGCUCACCAAGCCAACGAUCUGUAGCUGGUCUGAGAGGACGACCAGCCACACUGGGACUGAGACACGGCCCAGACUCCUACGGGAGGCAGCAGUGGGGAAUUUUGGACAAUGGGCGCAAGCCUGAUCCAGCAAUGCCGCGUGCAGGAAGAAGGCCUUCGGGUUGUAAACUGCUUUUGUACGGAACGAAACGGCUCUGGUUAAUACCUGGGGAUAAUGACGGUACCGUAAGAAUAAGCACCGGCUAACUACGUG
rnacentral:rRNA from 1 species